rnacentral:rRNA from 1 species
GAUGAACGCUGGCGGCGUGCCUAAUACAUGCAAGUCGAGCGAACGGACGAGAAGCUUGCUUCUCUGAUGUUAGCGGCGGACGGGUGAGUAACACGUGGAUAACCUACCUAUAAGACUGGGAUAACUUCGGGAAACCGUAGCUAAUACCGGAUAAUAUUUUGAACCGCAUGGUUCAAAAGUGAAAGACGGUCCUGCUGUCACUUAUAGAUGGAUCCGCGCUGCAUUAGCUAGUUGGUAAGGUAACGGCUUACCAAGGCAACGAUGCAUAGCCGACCUGAGAGGGUUGUCGGCCACCCUGGAACUGAGACAAGGUCCAGACUCCUACGGGAAGCAGCAGUAGGGAAUCUUCCGCAAUGGGCGAAAGCCUGACGGAGCAACGCCGCGGGAGGGAUGAAGGUCUUCGGAUCGUAAAACUCUGUUAUUAGGGAAGAACAUAUGUGUAAGUAACUGUGCACAUCUUGACGGUACCUAAUCAGAAAGCCACGGCUAACUACGUG